rnacentral:piRNA from 1 species
UCNGUAAGGUGCCAGGUCUGUACUUGAUGG